UUUAUUUUUUAUAUUUAAAUCCGGUAUAUUACAUUACACCGCAACCUUACCGGAACCAUUCAAAUGGCUCUCCAACCAAAUGGACACCGUAACCUCAUGAUUUUAGAAGUCCGGUACCUUACACAUGAGUUGCAGGAUCAGCUCGCGAAGUUGACCGAUUUGGUUGCUCAGCAGGCUGCGGCAGCGCGACAGCAGAUGGACGCCGCGCGUCGACAGGAAGACAGCAUGAAGAGGUUAGAGGAUUUACUACUGCGGCGGACGACCGACAGAGAGAUUCCUGAU
rnacentral:lncRNA from 1 species